AUACGGUUAUAUCACGUUGAAACACCUGUUUCCGUACAAUCACCGUAGUUAAGCAACAUUGAUCAUACUCAGUCCUUAGAUGGGUGUCCGCAUGGGAAUACCAGAUGCUGUAAG